GAUGAAGAACGCAGCGAAAUGCGAUAAUUAAUGUGAAUUGCAGAAUUUAGUGAAUCAUCGAGUCUUUGAACGCACAUUGCGCCUCAUGGUAUUCCGUGAGGCAUGCCUGUCUGAGCGUCAACAACACCACUCAAGCAUUGCUCUCUUGCUCUGCUUGGUCCAUGUCAGGGAAGCGGUUGGGCCUGUCCAACUGCCCCUUGAAAAGCAAUAGAUGGUCAGGUUGUCACCUUAAGCCAAACGUCAUAUGAUUCUUAUCGUUCGUUUGUCUAUCUGACUUCUUGACAGUUGUUGAACCCAACAGCACCAUGCUGUUUAUUCUGACUUGACCUCAGAUCAGGUAGGGAUACCCGCUGAACUUAAGCAUAUCAAUAAGCGGAGGA
rnacentral:misc_RNA from 1 species